GUAGGGUGCGAGCGUUAAUCGGAAUUACUGGGCGUAAAGCGUGCGCAGGCGGCUUUUUAAGCCAGAUGUGAAAUCCCCGGGCUUAACCUGGGAACUGCAUUUGGAACUGGAAGGCUAGAGUGCGGCAGAGGGGGGUAGAAUUCCACGUGUAGCAGUGAAAUGCGUAGAGAUGUGGAGGAAUACCGAUGGCGAAGGCAGCCCCCUGGGUCGACACUGACGCUCAUGCACGAAAGCGUGGGGAGCAAACAGGAUUAGAUACCCUGGUAGUCCACGCCCUAAACGAUGUCAACUGGUUGUUGGAGGAGUGAAAUCCUUUAGUAACGAAGCUAACGCGUGAAGUUGACCGCCUGGGGAGUACGGUCGCAAGAUUA
rnacentral:rRNA from 1 species